rnacentral:piRNA from 1 species
UGCCACAGGGUGUGUGUGACAUAGAA